UUGUGGCGGCCCAAGUUGAUGAGCAUU
rnacentral:piRNA from 1 species